rnacentral:lncRNA from 1 species
ACAACUAGAGAGAGAGAGAGAGGAAGAGGAGGAAGGGAGGGGGCUCUCGACGAUGAAGCUGUGGAAACGAGCCGCCGCCGCGAUAAAAGACCGUAAAAGCCUAUUAGCGGUCGGAUUCUCGCGGCGAACUUCACACCACAACUUAGACCUGGAAGCAGCCAUCAUCAAAGCCACCUCCCACGACUCCUCCUCCGUCGACUACUCCAACGCUCACCGCGUCUACAAAUGGAUCCGCUCUUCUCCUCAUCUCAACCUCAAAACGCUGAUCCACACCCUCUCCUCCCGCGUCAGCCACACGCGCAGCUGGAUCGUCUCCCUCAAAUCCCUAAUGCUUCUCCACGGUGUUAUCUCCUGCAAACUCCCUUCCGUCCUCGGAGAGCUCCGCCGCCUCCCUUUCGACCUCUCGGAUUUCUCCGACGGGCAUUCGUGUCUCAGCAAGACCUGGGGGUUCAACAUCUUCGUCCGUGCUUACUACGCCUUCCUUCGCAGCUACGCUUCUUUCUUAUCCGAUCAGUUCCACCGCCGCCCCGUGAAUCGAAGAUCUUCGGUGAAUCAAGAAACCGAAAGGAUACAGAAACUGCAGUCUCUUCUUGAUUUGAUUCUACAGAUCCGUCCUAUUGCUGAUAACAUGAAGAGGACGUUGAUCCUAGAAGCGAUGGAUUGUAUAGUGAUCGAGAGUAUCAACAUCUACGGUAGAAUAUGCAGCGGCGUCAUCAGAAUGCUUCCUAGUUCAGGUAAAGCAGACGCCGCUGCGACCUUAAAGAUCAUCAAUAAGGCAACAUCUCAGGGAGAAGAUUUAGCUGUCUAUUUCGAGUUCUGCAAAGGAUUUGGCGUCCCGAACGCGAGAGAUACUCCUCAGUUCGUUAGUAUACCAAAGGCGGAAGUAGAGACAAUCAAGAACAUGAUUGAGAACGUUGGAGAAGAAGAAGUAGUAGAGGAAGAGAAAGCUAUGGUGGUUUUGGAGAAGCCGAGGUUGGAGACGAUCAUCACAGAGAAAUGGGAGAUUUUCGAAGAUGAUGAGUGUUGUUUCCAUGAAAAGGUGAUUAAAGAAUAUCAAAAGCAUCCUCUGCCUCUUAUAGUAUCGUACCAAGAACCAGUUUAUAUCGAGUACAUGAUGCCAGAUUUGAUUACGUUCUAGUGAAGACACAACAAACAAUCUGGACGAGAUUGAACUUGUCUUGUCUUUUUUUUUUUUCCUUUUCCCUGGUUCUGGUUCUGUACAUAUACACAAUUUUUACCAGUAUCUUGAGUAAAAAUUCAAAAGAGAUCAAGUGGUACAUUUUGAGAUAUACCGAGCUUGAUUAUGAGUUCAUUAAAGGCACCUUGGUUCAUUUCCUUCCGGAAAUACAAGCACAUCGACACAUUGGUGAUACAGCAUGUGGACUGCUAUCCUCUUCAACCCCACCUAUAACACGGUUGAUGAAUCUCAUUACCAUUAUCUCAGUCAUAAGAUUCAUAGUGAGUUUGAUAAUAAAAAUUUGGUAAUGAGGUUAAGAUGGUAAUCUUAUAGAAGAUUCACAAUUUCAAGUAUUAUCAGUCAUUUUGGAUUCUGUCUUCUUCUUUUUUUGCAACUAUAUAUUUUGGAUUCUAUCUUUGUAUCUUUGAUGUUAGUCACAAAGAGCAUACGAUUAUUUUCGUAAUGUAUAGAUGUUUCUGUGGCGUCACCUGAGGUUGAUGAGUUAUUAUUGAUCUUAUUGGAAAUCAAAGACAAGAUAGGAAAAUGGAACCCAAAAACCAAGUUGCCUGUAAAGCCCAUAAAAGUGCUGUGCAGCCUCUGAAAACAUCCCUGAAACUUCCUGAUGAUUCUAUAAUGAAAUUAGCCAUGACCAUUACAAAUAAUGCAUCCCAAUCUUGAAACUCCCGAGCCUUCAUGAUGUGAAGCGUCGUAAUUUUAUUUAAGCCAUCCUUCUCAAGGUCUUAUCCAAUUGCCUCGCCUUGUACUUGUAUUGUUACUACGUCCUUCAAAUUCAAACCCGCAUAUACCUAGUGUUGAACGAAAAAUAAAUAAACGUUUCUUGAUUAGACAUAACUUAUUUUAAUAUAGCCACUUUAAAAGCAUAUUUAGUUUUUGUUUUGAUUAAGGAAGGCUAAUGAUGUUCCUCCAUAUGUAUAUGUGUGUGUUGAUUUCGUUUGCAAGGAAAGCAACAAGGCCGAUGGGAAAUCGCUAUCAAUCAUAAAAUGGUAUGGCCAAAGCAAAGACUUUAAGGAUGUACCAUAAGUUUCGAACUUUAUAGAGACUAGUACUUUCUCAUAAGUCAUAAUACGUCGCCUAAUCAAGCAAAACAAAAACUAUUAACAAUUUAUAGUAUGGUGACAAAAACAAAAGUAUUCCAACUAACCAAAUGCUUUAAAUAGAAAUUAAAACACUAUAUAUAUCAACUUACAAGCUUAUAUUAUUACACGACAACAAAGUUAUAGUGUAGUAAUUAUUUACAGACUAUAGAACUUGUUUACAGCAGUUAUUUCUUUUCUACAUUCCAGUUUAAACGUGAUGAAUGGGUUGCACACUUGUACCUAAUCUCACAAUCUUGUUUGCUCAUGUUUUCUUAAUUAUAAUUUUAAAAUUCAGAGACCAUAAAUUUUUGCACUUACAAUAACUUAAACCAUAUAUAGUAUAUGGACAUGCUAGCAGAUUGGACGCAUAAACUAUAUAAUAGCAUGUCGACAGAAUAUAACAUAUUAACAAUAAAACUAUUUUUUAUUUACACACAAAUAGAAUACUGGACUUCUAGUCACUCUCAGUUUAAGAAAUUUUAUUUGUAACUGAUACUUUUCUGAUAUAUGGCAAAAACAUUACUAUAUUCUCCUUAAUUUUUUUAAUCAGUUCACGAUUUAGAUUUGCAAACACAAUUUUUUAAUACUUUUUUUGAAAAAAAUUACUAUUUAUAUACAUAACUACAUUCGACCAAUAAUAACCAAUAAUUAAAAACUGCAUAAUACAAAAUUAUAUUAAUAAAUUUUACAUUAAAAAUACAAAAAAUCAUCUAGUCUACAAAAGAUAUUCUAAAAUAUGAAAUAUAGAAAAAAAUAGAGGGAAUAUUAAUUAAUAUAAAAGCAUUUUCCGGUUUCUAUCAAGUAUCAUAAUUGGUGUCAUUCUACAACAUUUAUAGACUUUUGCAACCAUAGAAUGAAAAAUUAAGAAGCUUUAAAAGAUAUCCUAAGACUUAUGAAUCAAUAAUUCAGUAUUGUUCUUUACUUAAAAUAACAUAAAAUAGCAUUUGGAGUAUUAAUUAUUUGAUCAUAUUCAGUUAAUUCCAAAUUUAAAUGCAGACAGAUGUUGUCUUCCCUGACCGAGCCACUUAACUGGACUCCCGUCCUUUUGGCACCAGUUGAUUGUCGUAAGUCGUAACUAGUCGCAACUUAACAUCACCAAGCAUUCUAGUUUAUUGAAAAGAGAAAAAUAAAAGUAGGGUUCAUAAUCAUGUAUGUAUAGAUCCGUGAGCAUUAAUAGGCUCAGUCUAUUUUAUGAACAAAUGUACAAAUCCAUAAUGAUGACAAUUAUACAAAAGCUACAUAUAAGAGAUGUAAUAAUGAAGAAAAUGCAAAGGCAAUAGAUGAGAGUAGCGCGUAGGGUAAAGGCUUACACCGUCCAUGUAACAAGUAAGUAACCCCUUUAAAAGAUAACAAAAUACUUUGCAGAUAGGUGACUUUGGGAUUCUAGUGAGGUCAGGCUUCACUGUAACAAAGGCACUCUUCUUCAACUUCCUCUCGUGAAUUAUUAUACAAAAAUUGUAACUAUUAUAUUUUAAUUAGUCUUUGUGCGUUGUCAAUAGAAGUUUACACUUCUUCAUCAUUACUGCUUGGAAAGCAAAAAGCCAAAAGGGUCCAACUCCCAUGUUGUCAUCACUAUUCUCUCCUCCUUAGUUAAACCUAAUUAAUUAAUACUCUUUUUGUUUGUUUUCUUGUACUGCUAUCCUCUCCUCUCCUUUAUUCGUACUUCUCUUUCUCUAAAACGAAUCUCGCAUCUAAUCUUACCCCCUAAAUCUUGCUUUUCUAUUAUCAUAUCAAUCACUCAAUCUCGUGGAAUACCUCAGCUUUGAUCAUUUUAAGUUAUCCCUCUUUUUUACCGUACAUGAUGUUUUGGCUUAAUGCGCAAAAAUUAAAAAACUUUUUUCUUUCUAAAAAAUAAUUUUAAAAAUAUAAUUUAAAAAUCAUUUAACUAACUAUAGAAAUGACUGCAAUAUCUAAUUGAUUGCACAAUUUUCAAUAAAAUUAAAGAUAACAUAAAAAUAUCAAAACAUCAUCUAUUUUGAAACAAAAACAAUCUUCUAAAACAUCAUCUAUUCUGAAAUGGAAUGAAUAUAAUAUAAUGACAUCUUUUGCAUAUUUAAUGUUGAUUUAGAAGUACACAUUGAUUUGACAAAAUAUCAUUUGCUUACUAUUGAUUUAAAUGUUUUUUUUUGACUAAAGGCUUUGUUGAUUUAAAUGUUGGUAAAACUUAAUUAUGCAUAUUUAAUUUAUAGUUUAGACUGUCAGAUAUUUGGGUUAAAUCCUCAUUGAAAUUAGUUACAUUUUUGUGUUGUUGAUUUUAAGCACUCGUAUAUCCACGCUUAACAUGAACACGCACCAUAGUUACAUUUAUGUAUAUUUUGUACUCCUAAAAACCGACGAACAGUCAUUGCUCUCCGUUUUGGGUUUCAGUGAAAUCUAAAAAAAUGUCAUUAACUUUUUAAGUUGCAACUUUCAGAAGGCAACAAGAGCGAACGAGACAAAUGCCUCAGGUUUCAAUGCACAGCUUCACUAAAGGGUUUUCGGGCGUUGUGAUUAUAUGCUGUUUGUGGAGUAUAGCAUUAUUACUCAUUUAACAAAUAAAACAAAAUAUAGAUGCAUAAACCUAAGACGCCGGUGUUAAUUCAAGGUGAUAAAACGGUACAAAUCAACAAAACUAAAACAAGUAACAACGGGAGUGAGAGACUUAUUGCAGUUAAAUAAAUAGUAAACUAGUUAGAUAACUGAGGGUGAAUUUGCUAUAUGGUCACAUGAGAAACGUUUAUAGUUGUGAAAGAAUGGGGUGACAAAAAUCAAAGUAGAUUUAAAAAAAUAGGAUGGCAUCAAAUAAAAAAAAUGUGUUAUUUUUAAUCUGUGUGAAAUAUAAUAAUGUAUGUUAUUUAGAAUGCUAUGUGCGAUAAAUAAUCAAACUUACCUAGCUAUUUAGCGAAUAUAUGAAAGAUGUGAGUAUUAUAUUAUUAAUAUGUAUCUCAAGCAAUAAUGUGAUUGUUUGAAGGAUUGAUAUAUCCAACUUACAAAAAGCAUUGCAUGUGAUGAGAAUCCAUUUUCCCCAUCCUCCCACCCAUUCUUUCCAACUCAACCUUCUCUUUUCUCUUCUUAUUAAAGUAUCAUCCUCUUUUUGUUCCUCUUUUUGUUUUUUUAAAUGACUUUUUAAAAAGGUUUUGUAUUUACUUCGAUUUUUUACAGUUCCACUAGGUUAGACAAAUUCCCUUUAAUGAGAUGGUGGACUUUAAUAUGUAUGUUAUUUUAUACCUACAGCACACAGGCACUUAUACUUUAUAAUUAGCCUAUAGAUAUGUUUUUUAUAAAGAAAAAUUCCUUCGAACAUAUUCCAGAUCUAAAGAUUUUCCUUUGUAAUGUUAGAUAGAAUUGGUCUCAGCUGACACCGAAACCCAGAUCUGACUCAGGGUUUAUGCUUGUGUAACCACAUGAGUGUUUCUUACCACAAAGUUUCUUGCAGUGGCGGAGCCACGUUACUGCAAUGUUACCGUCUUACUGAUCAUUCGGGUCUCACUUAUUGACACUAUUCAUUUUUAAUUAGAAUAUAUAUCUUAUACAAAAGGGCAUAUAAAAUAUGUAAAGAUGAUGGCACCACAUUGUAUAUUUGUAUUUAUACGCAUGAUAUGGGUAUAUGCAUGUGUAUUAUUUUCCAAACAAAUAUCCUCCUCAUGUCCCUCUUUUAUAUAUAAACCAACCCUAAAGGCUACACAUACAUUUGUCACCAUUUAAAAUCAUGUACUCGAACAUCAAAUUUCCAAGAUUCCCAUUUGAAUUUUCAUCAAUCCUUUUAUUAUAUAUCUUGAAAAGGGAGAAAAUUUUAACUCAGUCUGAUCGAAUAUUGUAUGAUAUGAAAUAAUAAUGACUUGUAAUUGUUUUGUUGUGGAAGGGGAUGUUUUUUUGUUUCUUGUCCAGAUGCUAAUGUGGGCUCCAAACUCCUUGUCCCACUCUCUUUAUAUGUGUAUACAACAUUUCUCUGCAUAUAUAUGUUUGGUGUUUGUAAAUCAACAGUUAACAGUGUACAGAUAGAAAAGAGAGAGAGGAGAGAGAGAAAGAGAGGUUCAUAACUACUCUGAAGAAGAUUGAAGCACCAACGACCAUACAAUGCGUUUCUCCAUCUAAGGUGAAAGGUCAAUGAAACAAUUAUCAAAAAGUUGAAAGUUUUCAUAUUUUCUUUUUUGGUUUUUCCCAGAAAAUUAUAAAAAGAUGGAGAGUAAAGGGUUUAGAAAAGCUUUUUCCUUUAUGUGAUAAAAAGAUGAUUUCAGAAAAACAAAGCCCUUUGUUUCUCUCUCUUAACUCAUCUUACUUUUCUUCCUCUAUUAGUAAAGAUGUAAAACACAAUACUCUCUCCACCAAAUAAAUAAGGAAACAAAUUAAAAACAAUCUCUCCUUCUUUCUCCUGCAUGAAAAACAAAAGAUUCCUCAAUAUUGUUCUUAUUUUUCGUUAGUCACAGUACCCUUCUCUAUACACUAACACUAAAGUAUAAACUAACACCAUCUUCAAACAAGAAACAAAAAGAGAGAACCUCAUCCGAUGAUAAAUUACGAGAGAAGCAAGAACACCAAGAACAUCAACCAUCAUCGGAAUCCUCCUUCUUCAUCUUCCUCUGAUCUUCUUCCCGACGGUAAUGGAGCCGCCGUGACCCAAAAGAGGAAAAGACGACCUGCCGGGACGCCAGGUAAUUAUGUUCAAUUUUUUUUUUGGCUUUUAAAAAAGAAUAGCACAAGGUAUCCUAGUUUCAAAGUUUUUUUUUUCUUAAUUUCAGUAAAUUAUUGAAAGUAAUCAUUUUAUAUGUUGAGUUUUUUUUACUUUGGUCACAAUUUGGUUCAAGUUUUUAUUUCUCCAAAUCUAUUUUUUUAUAUCAAUAUCCGAAAAUAAUCAUACUUUUCUGGCGGGGGCAGAUCCGGAGGCUGAGGUGGUAUCUUUAUCUCCAAGAACACUACUAGAAUCAGAUCGGUACGUGUGUGAGAUCUGUAAUCAAGGGUUUCAGAGAGACCAGAAUCUACAGAUGCACAGGAGAAGACAUAAAGUUCCAUGGAAGCUUUUAAAGAGAGAAUCAGCGGUUACAACGGUAUUAACGGAUGGUUUAGGGACAAGAACUUAAAAUAGAGAAAGGAGAUUUACAGAGAUGAUUUUUUCGAUCUCGAGGAAGAAGAAAGAUACAGAAAAGACAACGAGAGAGAGAGAGAGAGAGAGAGAGAGAGAGAGGGGAAGAGGAGGAAGGGAGGGGGCUCUCGACGAUGAAGCUGUGGAAACGAGCCGCCGCCGCGAUAAAAGACCGUAAAAGCCUAUUAGCGGUCGGAUUCUCAAAGCGAACUUCACACCACAACUUAGACCUCGAAGCAGCCAUCAUCAAAGCCACCUCCCACGACUCCUCCUCCGUCGACUACUCAAACGCUCACCGCGUCUACAAAUGGAUCCGAUCUUCUCCUCAUCUCAACCUCAAAACGCUAAUCCACACCCUCUCCUCCCGCGUCAGCCACACGCGCAGCUGGAUCGUCUCCCUCAAAUCCCUUAUGCUCCUCCACGGCGUUAUCUCCUGCAAACUCCCUUCCGUCUUAGGAGAGCUCCGCCGCCUCCCUUUCGAC